GCUGGGCAAGGUGGCCCAUGUCUUUAAUCCCAGUAACUUGGGAGGCUGAGGCAGGAGGAUUGCAAGUUUGAGGUCAGCCUGGGCAAUUUAGUAAGAUCCCAUUUCAA
rnacentral:sRNA from 1 species